CCCUCCAUUUUUUUCCCUCCGUUGAUUUUGGGCCCUAAACUACUUCGUUUUUUAGAGCCAAUUAACACUUUAUUCCCCUUUCCCAUUUCAUUUUGCAAUAACCCUAACUCCUUCAGCCGCUCUUUCUCCUUCCAUCACAGCUCUCUCACCCUUCCAUCACCGGUCUCGCCCUUCCAUCACCGGUCAUCACAACUCUCUCCUUCCAUCACCGGUCAUCACAGCUCUCUCUCCUUCCAUCACCGGUCAGCGUUCCAAAACUGGUGGCUUGGUUUAGAGAGACAAAGUCACACACACACAGAGAAAGAGUCGUCGUUGGGGGCUUCCAAAACCUCGUCUACACUAAUAGAUCGGACGAGAAUUUUUUUAGAGUCGGCAGACGACUCUCUUCGCGAAAGCCCUAGCUCCUUGCCCCUGACCACUGGACAUCGCGAAAGCCUUGGAUAGCUCCUUGCCUCCUCCUUACAACUUUUUGAAGUCUAAACAAGGAAGGAUAAAUAAUAAGCUGACAAUGAAACGAACGGUUAGUGAAGUGGAAAAAGUGAGUGAACAAAAAGGGGGUCACGUGCUACUGAUGCUGCUACUUCACAGAUGAUUGGUUCUAAUUCUUUAAAUUCUCCUCCUAGACCUCCAAAUUCAUUUUCUAGUCGUGAUGCCAAUUCAGUUAAGGUUAUGAACUUUUUUAAUUUCUCUUAUAUGUUAAGUUUCCAUUUAUUAUAAUGUGCGCUUAAUGAAUUUAUAAAAAAUGUAAGGUAAUUCAAAUCAAAUGGGCGAGAAAACUUAUUGAAGUUGAAGUUGAAGUUGAAGCUGAAGAUGGGGGAGUGGAUGUGCUUUCUGAAUUUCUUUCGCCGUGGAUGACUUCUUUUUGAAAAACUUGUACUACAUUUGUCAAAAAUUCUUAAUUCUUUUUAUGUGACAUUUAGUAGCUUUAUCUAGACAAUUUGGAUUGUAUCUUCAUAUUGGCAGGUUAACUUGUGGUUAUAUAACACUUUCGCUUUUUGGUUGA